GAUGAACGCUGGCGGCGUGCCUAAUACAUGCAAGUCGAGCGAACAGACGAGGAGCUUGCUCCUCUGACGUUAGCGGCGGAAGGGUGAGUAACACGUGGAUAACCUACCUAUAAGACUGGGAUAACUUCGGGAAACCGGAGCUAAUACCGGAUAAUAUAUUGAACCGCAUGGUUCAAUAGUGAAAGACGGUUUUGCUGUCACUUAUAGAUGGAUCCGCGGCGCAUUAGCUAGUUGGUAAGGUAACGGCUUACCAAGGCAACGAUGCGUAGCCGACCUGAGAGGGUGAUCGGCCACACUGGAACUGAGACACGGUCCAGACUCCUACGGGAGGCAGCAGUAGGGAAUCUUCCGCAAUGGGCGAAAGCCUGACGGAGCAACGCCGCGUGAGUGAUGAAGGUCUUCGGAUCGUAAAACUCUGUUAUUAGGGAAGAACAAAUGUGUAAGUAACUAUGCACGUCUUGACGGUACCUAAUCAGAAAGCCACGGCUAACUACGUG
rnacentral:rRNA from 1 species